rnacentral:rRNA from 1 species
UAACACGUACGCAACCUUCCCGUUACUGGGGAAUAGCCCAGGGAAACUUGGAUUAAUACCCCAUAUUAUAUGGAUCAGGCAUCUGGUUCAUAUCAAAGAUUCAUCGGUAACGGAUGGGCGUGCGGUUGAUUAGGUAGUUGGCGGGGUAACGGCCCACCAAGCCUACGAUCAAUAGCUGAUGUGAGAGCAUGAUCAGCCACACGGGCACUGAGACACGGGCCCGACUCCUACGGGAGGCAGCAGUAAGGAAUAUUGGGCAAUGGACGGAAGUCUGACCCAGCCAUGCCGCGUGGAGGAUGAAGGUCCUCUGGAUUGUAAACUUCUUUUCUCUGGGGCGAAAAAAGCCCUUUCUAGGGCACUUGACAGUACCAGAGGAAUAAGCACCGGCUAACUCCGUGCCAGCAGCUGCGGUAAUACGGAGGGUGCAAGCGUUAUCCGGAUUCACUGGGUUUAAAGGGUGCGUAGGUGGGCUUGUAAGUCAGUGGUGAAAUCCCCGAGCUUAACUUGGGAACUGCCGUUGAUACUAUAAGUCUUGAAUAUCGUGGAGGUAAGCGGAAUAUGUCAUGUAGCGGUGAAAUGCUUAGAUAUGACAUAGAACACCAAUUGCGAAGGCAGCUUGCUACACGACAAUUGACACUGAGGCACGAAAGCGUGGGGAUCAAACAGGAUUAGAUACCCUGGUAGUCCACGCCCUAAACUAUGGAUACUCGACAUCAGCGAUACACUGUUGGUGUCUG